rnacentral:rRNA from 1 species
AACGAACGCUGGCGGCAUGCCUAACACAUGCAAGUCGAACGAGACCUUCGGGUCUAGUGGCGCACGGGUGCGUAACGCGUGGGAACCUGCCCUUAGGUUCGGCAUAACUCCCCGAAAGGGGUGCUAAUACCGGAUAAUGUCUUCGGACCAAAGAUUUAUCGCCUUUGGAUGGGCCCGCGUUGGAUUAGCUAGUUGGUAGGGUAAAAGCCUACCAAGGCGACGAUGCAUAGCUGGUCUGAGAGGAUGAUCAGCCACACUGGGACUGAGACACGGCCCAGACUCCUACGGGAGGCAGCAGUGGGGAAUAUUGGACAAUGGGCGAAAGCCUGAUCCAGCAAUGCCGCGUGAGUGAUGAAGGCCUUAGGGUUGUAAAGCUCUUUUACCCGGGAUGAUAAUGACAGUACCGGGAGAAUAAGCUCCGGCUAACUCCGUG